rnacentral:lncRNA from 1 species
AGCAUCCACCACGGUGACUUCAUCAGCCACACUCUUCACAGCAAGUGACGGGAUGGCAGAAAAUUCAUUCCUAAACGUUUCAAUGGGAACGAGCUUUAACACUGGGACAAGAAAGCCGUGUACAAAAAAAACUAUUGAAAAGAAGCGUUCUCUGUGGGGAUGGGAAUGGAAAGUGUGGUCUGUGCUGGUGUACGGUGUGCACACGGAGUAACCAAUUUGUAGCCAAAAUGUUCAUGGAUAUUCUGCAAAAAAAAUAGAUUUUAUUUCGGCAGUGCAUCGUUGCUGCAGGCUGCAUCCCUAACUAAC